AUUGAACGCUGGCGGCAUGCCUAACACAUGCAAGUCGAGCGGGAGGGGGGCGUGUGGGUAAUGUAUGGGGCCCGGCCCGAGAGAGGGGGAUAACUACGGGAAACGAUGGCUAAUACCGCAUACUAUCGGCUGAACCCAUAUGGGAGUAGCUAGUUGGUGGGGUAAAGGCUCACCUAGGCGACGAUCUCUAGCUGGUCUGAGAGGAUGACCAGCCACACUGGGACUGAGACACGGCCCAGACUCCUACGGGAGGCAGCAGUGGGGAAUAUUGCACAAUGGGCGCAAGCCUGAUGCAGCCAUGCCGCGUGUAUGAAGAAGGCCUUAGGGUUGUAAAGUACUUUCAGCGGGGAGGCGGUACCCGCAGAAGAAGCACCGGCUAACUCCGUGCCAGCCGCCGCGGUAAUUC
rnacentral:rRNA from 1 species